rnacentral:rRNA from 1 species
AGACCCGAAACCCGGUGAUCUAGCCAUGGGCAGGUUGAAGGUUGGGUAACACUAACUGGAGGACCGAACCGACUAAUGUUGAAAAAUUAGCGGAUGACCUGUGGCUGGGGGUGAAAGGCCAAUCAAACCGGGAGAUAGCUGGUUCUCCCCGAAAGCUAUUUAGGUAGCGCCUCGUGAACUCAUCUCCGGGGGUAGAGCACUGUUUCGGCUAGGGGGCCAUCCCGGCUUACCAACCCGAUGCAAACUGCGAAUACCGGAGAAUGUUAUCACGGGAGACACACGGCGGGUGCUAACGUCCGUCGUGAAGAGGGAAACAACCCAGACCGCCAGCUAAGGUCCCAAAGUCAUGGUUAAGUGGGAAACGAUGUGGGAAGGCCCAGACAGCCAGGAUGUUGGCUUAGAAGCAGCCAUCAUUUAAAGAAAGCGUAAUAGCUCACUGGUCGAGUCGGCCUGCGCGGAAGAUGUAACGGGGCUAAACCAUGCACCGAAGCUGCGGCAGCGACGCUGAUGCGUUGUUGGGUAGGGGAGCGUUCUGUAAGCCUGUGAAGGUGGCCUGUGAGGGUUGCUGGAGGUAUCAGAAGUGCGAAUGCUGACAUAAGUAACGAUAAAGCGGGUGAAAAGCCCGCUCGCCGGAAGACCAAGGGUUCCUGUCCAACGUUAAUCGGGGCAGGGUGAGUCGACCCCUAAGGCGAGGCCGAAAGGCGUAGUCGAUGGGAAACGGGUUAAUAUUCCCGUACUUGGUGUUACUGCGAAGGGGGGACGGAGAAGGCUAUGUUGGCCGGGCGACGGUUGUCCCGGUUUAAGCGUGUAGGUGUGUGUUCCAGGUAAAUCCGGUUCACUUUAACACUGAGGCGUGAUGACGAGGCACUACGGUGCUGAAGCAACAAAUGCCCUGCUUCCAGGAAAAGCCUCUAAGCAUCAGGUAACAUCAAAUCGUACCCCAAACCGACACAGGUGGUCAGGUAGAGAAUACCAAGGCGCUUGAGAGAACUCGGGUGAAGGAACUAGGCAAAAUGGUGCCGUAACUUCGGGAGAAGGCACGCUGACACGUAGGUGAAGUGAUUUACUCACGGAGCUGAAGUCAGUCGAAGAUACCAGCUGGCUGCAACUGUUUAUUAAAAACACAGCACUGUGCAAACACGAAAGUGGACGUAUACGGUGUGACGCCUGCCCGGUGCCGGAAGGUUAAUUGAUGGGGUCAGCGCAAGCGAAGCUCCUGAUCGAAGCCCCGGUAAACGGCGGCCGUAACUAUAACGGUCCUAAGGUAGCGAAAUUCCUUGUCGGGUAAGUUCCGACCUGCACGAAUGGCGUAAUGAUGGCCAGGCUGUCUCCACCCGAGACUCAGUGAAAUUGAACUCGCUGUGAAGAUGCAGUGUACCCGCGGCAAGACGGAAAGACCCCGUGAACCUUUACUAUAGCUUGACACUGAACAUUGAGCCUUGAUGUGUAGGAUAGGUGGGAGGCUUUGAAGUGUGGACGCCAGUCUGCAUGGAGCCGACCUUGAAAUACCACCCUUUAAUGUUUGAUGUUCUAACGUGGACCCGUGAUCCGGGUUGCGGACAGUGUCUGGUGGGUAGUUUGACUGGGGCGGUCUCCUCCUAAAGAGUAACGGAGGAGCACGAAGGUUGGCUAAUCCUGGUCGGACAUCAGGAGGUUAGUGCAAUGGCAUAAGCCAGCUUGACUGCGAGCGUGACGGCGCGAGCAGGUGCGAAAGCAGGUCAUAGUGAUCCGGUGGUUCUGAAUGGAAGGGCCAUCGCUCAACGGAUAAAAGGUACUCCGGGGAUAACAGGCUGAUACCGCCCAAGAGUUCAUAUCGACGGCGGUGUUUGGCACCUCGAUGUCGGCUCAUCACAUCCUGGGGCUGAAGUAGGUCCCAAGGGUAUGGCUGUUCGCCAUUUAAAGUGGUACGCGAGCUGGGUUUAGAACGUCGUGAGACAGUUCGGUCCCUAUCUGCCGUGGGCGCUGGAGAACUGAGGGGGGCUGCUCCUAGUACGAGAGGACCGGAGUGGACGCAUCACUGGUGUUCGGGUUGUCAUGCCAAUGGCACUGCCCGGUAGCUAAAUGCGGAAGAGAUAAGUGCUGAAAGCAUCUAAGCACGAAACUUGCCCCGA